GGGCCCAUAGCUCAGUUGGUCAGAGCUGGGGACUCAUAAUCCCUAGGUCGCUGGUUCGAGUCCAGCUGGGCCCA
rnacentral:tRNA from 4 species